UGGGGAAUCUUGCGCAAUGGACGAAAGUCUGACGCAGCCACGCCGCGUGAGUGAAGAAGGCCUUCGGGUUGUAAAGCUCUGUCGGAGGGGACAAAAACGUUUAGGGUUAAUAGCCCUAGAUCUUGAUGGUACCCUCAAAGGAAGCACCGGCUAACUUCGUGCCAGCAGCCGCGGUAAUACGAAGGGUGCAAGCGUUGCUCGGAAUUAUUGGGCGUAAAGGGAAGGUAGGUGGUUACGUAUGUCUGAGGUGAAAGCCCCAAGCUCAACUUGGGAAGUGCCUUGGAAACGGCGUAACUAGAGUACUGGAGAGGUUGGUAGAAUUCCUGGUGUAGCGGUGAAAUGCGUAGAGAUCAGGAGGAAUACCAGAGGCGAAGGCGACGAACUGGACAGUUACUGACACUAAACUUCGAAAGCGUGGGGAGCAAACAG
rnacentral:rRNA from 1 species